CAGCAUGUGAGUGGCUGGGCCAAGAUUUCAGCUUAGUCCAUCUGUACUUUUUUUUUGAGACAGUCUCGCUCUGUCGCCAGGCUGGAGUACUAUGGCUCAGUCUCGGCUCACUGCCACCUCGCCUCCCAGGCUCAAGAGAUUCUUCGGCCUCAGCCUCCCGAGUAGCUGGGAUUACAGGCAAGUGCUGCUGUGCCCAACUAAUUUCUGUAUUAUUAUUAUUUUUUUAAAUAGAGACUGGGUUUCACCAUGCUGCCCAGGCUGGUCUUGAACUCCUGACCUCAGGCGAUCCACCCACCUUGGCCUCCCAAAGUGCGGGGAUUACAGGUGUGAGCCACCACGCCCAGCCCCAUCUGUGCAUCUGUGGUUUUUUUGUUUUUUUUUUGUUUGUUUUUUUUGAGAUGGAGUCUUGCUCUGUCGCCCAGGCUGGAGUGCAGUGGCGCGAUCUCGGCUCACUGCAAGCUCCGCCUCCUGGGUUCACGCCAUUCUCCUGCCUCAGCCUCCCGAGUAGCUGGGACUACAGGCACCCGCCACCGCGCCUGGCUAAUUUUUUGUAUUUUUAGUAGAGACAGGGUUUCACCGUUGUUAGCCAGGAUGGUCUCCAUCUCCCGACCUCGUGAUCCGCCCACCUCGGCCUCCCAAAGUGCUGGGAUUACAGGCGUGAGCUACCAUGCCCGGCCUCCAUCUGUGCUUUUAAGCCACAAAUGUACCAGUGGAGAUGGUAGGAAGGAGGGUGAACACUGCCCGCUUUCUGUCCCCAUCUUUGUGAAACUCCUGCUCUUGGGAGGAUUGAUGGAUUGACACCCAACUGGAGCACAGGGUACCGGAGGAGAGGUGAGUAGUGGUUACAGCCUGGGUGACUCCAACGUGCCCUUUCCAUUUCUCCCCAUACUCUGUUCUGUCAGACAUAGAGAAAGUAGGCCGAGCACGGUGACUCAUGCCUAUAACUCCAGCAAUUUGAGAAGCCGAGGCAGGAUCGCUUGAGCCCAGGACAUGGAGAACAGCCUAGGUCAAAAGAAUGUCUACAGAGAACACAAGAGGAAAUACUUGGCUGGAAUCCACAGGAACCACUGAGGACAACCCAGGUCCCCAGACAGGCUCAACAAUGGCUCUGAGCUAAUAUACAAAGUCCGUCAUCCGCAGCACAGAGAAAAGGAAGGGGGCUUUGGGGACUUCUUGUGCAGAAAAGCAGCCACCCAGGUGGACACCAUGCAUUAGCAGGUGGCUCAUGAGGAUGCUUGUGUUCUUUCAUCAGAAGGAGAGGACUCCUGAGAAUUCUCCAACUCCCGGCUUUUAAUUUCUAGAUAAGACAACAAAGCUUCCUACAGCUCUGAGGUCCUGGCCUGCUCCCUGGGGACAUACGGGGACCCUGAGGACACUGUUGAUACAUAAUGCCUGGUACAUACUCCUGGGAUAGAGGCCUGCUUCAGAAAAGACCAGGGGAAAUGUACAGUCUUGGUACUGAGAGCAAAUUAAAGCUGGAAGAAACCAUGAAGACAGAGAAGAGCAUUAGCAGCUGACUGCGAAUGAAACUCAAGAAUUCUUACUCUAACUCUGAGAACAAGUUAGGGGCUGGCAGCCGACUGUUAAGCCCAGUGGCCUGGGUACAAAUUCUGGACUACAUCACUGACUGGCUGUGUAACCACAGACAAGUCACAUAAUCAGUUGGUGUCUCAGUUUCCUUAUCUGUAAAAUGGGGAUGUUAUUCUCUACCUCGCACCACACACAGAGAUUCACUCAAAGCGGAUCAUACACCUAAAUAAAAGAGUAAAAACUA